rnacentral:rRNA from 1 species
UGUGGAUUAAUUCGAUGCAACGCGAAAACCUUACCUACCUUGACAUGUCCGGAAUCCGAAGAGAUUUGGGAGUGGCUCGCAAGAGAGCCGGAACACAGGUGCUGCAUGGCUGUCGUCAGCUCGUGUCGUGAGAUGUUGGGUUAAGUCCCGCAACGAGCGCAACCCUUGUCAUUAGUUGCCAUCAUUUGGUUGGGCACUCUAAUGAGACUGCCGGUGACAAACCGGAGGAAGGUGGGGAUGACGUCAAGUCCUCAUGGCCCUUAUGGGUAGGGCUUCACACGUCAUACAAUGGUCGGUACAGAGGGUUGCCAACCCGCGAGGGGGAGCUAAUCCCACAAAGCCGAUCGUAGUCCGGAUCGCAGUCUGCAACUCGACUGCGUGAAGUCGGAAUCGCUAGUAAUCGUGGAUCAGCAUGUCACGGUGAAUACGUUCCCGGGUCUU